rnacentral:rRNA from 1 species
CUAAAACGUUCGCCGCCUCAAACAACACAAACACACUCAAUGCCCCCCCCCUAAACCAUUCGCCCUGUCAAGUAUAGGAGAUAGAAACACACCCCGCGCGCAAUAGCUAACAAUACCGUAAGGGAACACUGAAAGACAAUUAAACACUCACGCAUAAAACAGCAGGGACCAGACCCCGUACCUCUUGCAUCAUGGUUUAACUAGCCCUAGUCAGAUAAAGUGCACUAAAACCUGCC